AUAUUCUCUUCUCUAAGGAAAAAAUAAAAAGUCAGGACGAAAACCAAAGCUUCCAAACCCUAGCGGUUCAGCGAUGUCGGGUGAUGGGGGAUUUUCGUUGAAGAUCGCCGUGUGUGGGUGUUUCAUUGACGCAUCACGUUACAGGUCAGAUUACAAGUCAGAGUGGUAUGUGAUUAAAGUCCCCGAUCCCGAUUGCCGUCCUCUUCGACGUCGUUCUUCUUCUUCUUCUUCUUCUAGGGUCAAGAAAAAGAAAAAAGAAAAAGUGAGGACAAUGAUAAGCACGAAGCUUCUCAGUCCGAUUUCAGUAACCAAGUCUGAUCCAAUGUCCGUUUGCAAGAAUCAUCUAGCCAUAGGCUCCAGUCUGUAUUGUUUUGGAGGCCUAAUCCUCGAUAGCGAUAGAGAUGCUCAUGAAAAGGUGUGGCGGCUAGACAUAGACCUUGACUCUCCAUGGUCAAGUGGUGAUUGGAACUCUGUUCCUCUCAUGAAGUUUUAUAAAAGAUGGGAACCUCGCACUUUGGUCCUUCACAAAAAGUUAUAUGUGUUGGGUGGUUUCUACUCGCAAAAAUCAAGAGGUACCUUUCCCAUUCCCGCUGAAGCUGGCUGGAUGGAGGAGUUUGAUCCCAGCCUACAAGAAUGGAAAGCUUUGCCCAAUCCUCCCUUUGGAAUUUACUCCGUUCCUGCCAUUGCCGUACCUCUCCCUGCUAAAAAACAGAUUCUGGUUGCUUAUUAUAGUGAUUUGAAGAAUUAUUAUCUUGAGUUAUAUAUCUAUGAUGUGAUGAGUCGAUCUUGGACUAAAUUUGGGUCUGGCAUCGAUGCUUCUGCUCCUUUGGCGGGAAGAGUUGUUAUGGUUGUUAAUACUCUCUACUGGCCUUCUCUUGAAGAUCUUCAAGAAGCUGAGAUGUGCACUAUAUAUGCUUACAAUUUGGAUUUGGAUGUGGUAAGCUGUGGCCAUUUCAGUGCUCGCUCAAUCCCUGAUGAUGCUGAUACAGAUGAACAUCUGUUUUGUAAUUCAGAACCACCUGGUUUGAUCCAUUUAGGUGGUAGUAAAUUCUGCCUCCUCUUGCACUCCUCCUCCCGUGCUAGUUACUACCUUAAUUGUCUUGUACUUCACCUUGAAGAAGACGACUUCGACUACCACCACUACGACUCCGACUACGACUAUGACUCCGGGUUUUUGACCAUCUCCAUUCUGUCCUACCAAAAGUAUGCCCUGCCGCACUACAUAGACUUAUGGGAUAACGUCUUGCUGGAUGAGGAUGACAACUUUUAUAUAUCAAAGAAUAAGAAACCAAAGUUAGCAAGUUUAAUUAUCAAAGAUCAUUAGGAGUAGUAGGUUGCUUCCUUGCAUUAUCAAACAGGGACGAGGAUAUGCUCUCGAGUCUCAUCAUGUUAUUCUUGAAUUUUGUGAUAUAACGGCCGUGUUGCGAGGCAUUUAUGUUUCCGUGGAUGUCUUAGCUCAAGUUUUUAAUUCUAUUAGUUGAACAGCAGGGAUUUUUUUUUUCUUCAAUUACUUACUAUAGACUACUAGGUUCUCUCUCUCUCUCUCUCUCAAAAAAAAAAAAAAAGUUGAUGGAAACGUAUACCUCAAGGGAGGUGGUGUACUAGUGGUUGUCCACAGAUUUUAAUCCAUUUAGGUGGUCGUAAAUUCUGCCUCCUCUUGCACUCCUCCUCCCGUGGUAGUUACUACCUUAAUUGUCAUGUACUUCACCUUGAAGAAGACGACUCCGACUACGACUAUGACUCCGGGUUUUUGACCAUCUCCAUUCUGUCCAAUCAAAAGUAUGCCCUGCCGCACUACAUAGACUUAUGGGAUAACGUCUUGCUGGAUGAGGAUGACAAGUGGAGUGGGUUCCAUAUCUUCAAAAGAUGUAGUCAUAUGGGUUCUAAUAAUUUACCUUGUGGAUGAUUUUGUCAUUUGCUUUUUAUUUUAUUUAAUAUGGUUUCAAAAGAUCAACUUAGUAGACAUAACCAACUAUGACUAUGAAUGUCAUUUGAUUUGUUCUUUAUUUUUCUUUUCUUUUUGUGUGGGGGAGGAGGGGAGAGGAGGGUUGUAAAGUUGGAUGAUUGAUUCAGAUAAGAUAAAAUGUGAAUCUUUUGGUCAUCCCCUAAUCAAAUAGCUAGGGUUUAUGGUGUUACGAGUAAACCAAUAUGAUCUUGGUGGUCCUCCAUUUUAUCACUAAUUAGGUCCCUUUAUCUCACAGUUCAGGGAAAAAAUGGAGAAAAAUUAUAGUAGCAAAUGUUUUGUAUUGAGGUUCUGUUUUGACACUAGUACAGGAGUUGUUGAUUACACUGCAUAUCGUUGCUUGAUAAACAGAAUUGUUUACAGGUUAAAGUUAAACCAAAAUGAAGAUAACAGCAGUAAUAACAAACAAUUAGAACCAAGCCAUAUUCUUGAUAUUCCCCCCCCCCCCCCCCCCCCCUAAAAGAAAAGACAGAACCAGAACUUUAUUUUACUUCCUAGUUCCUAGGCCCUUCACACUUUAGGAUAGGAUUUUUUUUGAAAAUUGUAAUCAUUAUGGAGGAAUACUGAAUGGACACCAACAUACUUGUUGGUAACUAGAAAACUUUGAGAGGUUAAAGAGUGUUAUUUGUCACAAUUAGUAAGAGCCUGAGAGGAUUUAUAGCCUUUGGAGUGGCACUUAAAGCACACUUCAUGUUUUUCAGCCCUUCUGGAUGUAACCGUAGAAUAUGUUUAGCAAUUCUUUUUCAACAUGUUUCAGCGCGAUUAAGAGAUGGUGGGUUACACAAGUGAAAUUCUUUUUAUAGAUUAGCCUAACUAACAAUGGAUGAACAUGUAGCUCAAUUGGUUGGCACCUUGGAAAAACCAAGAGUUGCGAUCAAUGGUCUUAUAAUAGCUAUUUCCACCAAUCUAAUUUAUACCAACUAUUUUCGUUAUAGGGUAGUCUUAAAUCUUUGUUACAUGUAUGGUGGAUCAUUUCUAUUCAUAUAACCUCUCUAAUAUGCAAAAGUACCUUUAAAACUUCCUAAUGUACUUAAACUUAGUUAACACUUACAGUUGUUAUGUUUAAAGACUUUGCAUACUCUAAGAGGUAAUUCAUUCCUUUGAUUUAUCUCAAAAUUUUGGUUAUCUAGAUCUGCUGUACGCAUAAGGAUGCACUUAUGGUAUUAGUUGAAGCAUUUAAUUCAUUAGAUGUUUAUAUUCAGGGCUGGCUUAACAAAAUUUGGGGCCUAAGGCAAAAAAUUUAUUUGGGGCAUUUUUAUAUGUAAAUAUUAAUUAAAUAAAAUUAUAUAAUACUAAUUAAAUUAAGACUAAUUUGAUGUAAAUACAGAAAUUGAUGAAUAAUACUAGCUAAACUAAGGUUAAUUUCAAAUAGAAGAUUGAAUAUUAUAGUUGAAUCAAAAGAAACUUACUUUAAUUAGGAUAUAUGACUAUGCAUAGUUAAGUACAGUUGUGAUCUAAAUUUUAAUUUUAUAUAUUCUUUUUAAGAGAAAGAGAUAGAUAGAUAUUAUUUGGUGUGUGACUUAGUAAGAGAUUAGUCAUCAUUGGUGAUUUAUCACAUUUACAGCAUUUUAUUUGAAACAUCUUAGGGUUUCAAUUGGGUUAAAUUUUUAUUGGUCUCCUAUUUUAAAAGCCUUGUUAGAAAUGAAAAAGAAAAAUACUAAAAAUACUACAAAAUGUUCACGAUAAAUGUGAUUAUGACUGUAAUUGAUGAAUUUCAACAACUUAAUUUAUUUGUGUUUGAAUUACUUUUUUAUGUGAUUGGUGAUAUGUCAGUUAAAUUUAUAAUAAAAUUUGUGGUAUUUUAAGCAUCAUUCUUUAAAAAAAGUAUCAAUUAUUUAAUUAAUGUUAUAUUUUUAUAAAAUUUUGGGUCUUUUACUAAGGGAGAUGAGGCCUUUUUCUAGUAGGGAAAUUUUUUAUUUGUUGUGGGGCCUGAGGCCUAGGCCUUGAGCCGACACUGUUUAUAUUAUGUAGAUAUCCUAGUAGUACUACAUAUGUUUUAGACUUACUCCUCUAUAAACUAAGGGUCAAACCAUAAGACGUAAAACAAUAAAAUUCAGAAAUUGGAUUAUGAGGGACUUGAUUUAAUUUACUUUAGCCAAGACAACGAUUUCAAGUAAAAUAUAUGCUUUGUGUUAAUUUGUACUUUUCAUCCUGUAGAUUGUUUUUCCAAUAAAAUUGCCAUCAUGAUUCUGUAGCAUCCCUUGAUAUCAUAGGCUAAAAGCCUUGUAGAUCAUUGGCAUUUCUGAUUCUUUCAAUUGGGAGAAAUUGGGUUCAAAUCACCCCCCUCCACUGGUUGUAAGGUGGAAAAAAAAGUUUGAUAUCAUAAACAACUUGAAUGGUAGCGGUUGAAUUAUUAAAAGUAUUCAAUUCAUGUUGGCCACAGCAUCAUUUGAUAGAAAAUUUGAAUGUUAUAUGAAGGACCAACCUGCAUCAGAUGCUUCCAUCUUAACUCACCUGCUCAUAUAGAUGCAGUUCACAGACUUAAUGUAUUGACCUCGAUAACAAUUAAGUAGGCAUAUUGUGAUAAACAUGCUAUAAUUUUAGUUCUUAAGUUUCACUAGUACAUUUCUACUUUUAUAAGCUUUAGUGAACAAAUUAGCUGGAUUGGUGGUCAUCCUCAUCAGAACUUGUUUAGAGGGAAAUCAAAGAAUCUUUUCCAUUUGUAAUUUUAUAUCAAUUUUUUUGCAACCCAAAUUUUCGUGGGUUUUUUUUGAAUUAGUCCAUGUGAUUCUCUUGAAAAGAAGCCUAGAGGUACGGAAAAUGAGUAAUAAAUAUAGGGGUAUCACACACAUUCCAAAUGAAUAAGUGAGUCACAUGACAUUAUAACAUGCUAAAUACACAAUAAUAUACACAAUAUAUAACAUACCCUAAUAAAAGACUAGUCUUAUUUACCUAGAAAAAAAAAAGACUUGUCUUGUUUACUUUUUCGGUACAUCAAUAGUUGGGGGUGGGGGGAAAAUUGAACCCUGGAUCUUUCCAUUGGAAAGACCAGGAUGUUCCAACCAGAGAACCAUAACUUUAUUUUACUUCCUAGGCCCUUCACACUAUAGGAUAGGAUUUGUCAUGACAUUGUAAUCAUUUUUUUUUUUUUUUGAUAGGUGUCAUGACUCAUGACAUUGUAAUCGUUAUGGAGGAAUACUGAAUGGACACCAACAUACUUGUUGAUAACAUGAUUGAUUAGGGUUGCGUUUGGGAUAGCUUAUAUUGAACAGCUUCUUUUACUAUUUAGCUUAUUUUUGGUACUAUUCAUGGAUCCUAUUGCACUUUUUGGUACUAUUCAUGAGUUUUACUAUAUUAUUUCAAUUAAAUUUUAACUUUAUCUACAGUAAUUUCAAUAAAAAGUUUACAGUUUCAGCUAAAUAAGCUGUUUCCGAAUGGACCCUAAGAUAGAUAAAUUGAGUAUCUUCUGGUCCUCUCCUAAGCAAAUAACUAGGGUUUAUGGUAUUACAAGAUUAAAUACAUAUAUAGAGGUACCACACAAGAACAUGAAGAUUAGUUGAGAAGUAAAAAAAAAAAAAAAACUGAGGCCUAGUGUAGAUCUAAAAUGAA